UCACAGGCCAUCAAUGGGUCAAGUAGUUCAAAUUCUUGAGGGAGUUUUGGACGUGACACUGCCUCCAAUUCCCAGAGCUCUCCAAGUAAUGGUCGAUGACCAUGAGCACGUAGUCUUCUUCACUGAAUCAUCCACAUCUCAGAGUUCCCUGUCAAAGAGCAACAAUUCAACUGCUUCAUCUCAAGCAAAGAGUACCACAUCAUCAAGAAGUUCUUAAAUCGAUGUGAAGAAAAUAUUUUAACAUUUGUGUUUAAGAAUAUAUAUUUGGUUUAUUUCACUUGUAACAACCUGUAUGCAUAUUUGGAUAGAAGCCUUGCUUCGUAGUGUAUAAUAAUAAUGCCCCCUGCCAAAGCAAUUUUAAGAAUCACAAGCCUUGUGCCUCGCUGUUCUCUCUAAUGAACUCUGAUUGAUCUAUGCUCCUCUGCAUUGACUAUUGGCUUCACCUAAUCGCUUCAAUUGGCAAAAUUAGGUAUUGAAAUGAAAGCGACUUGGAACUUGGAAGUUAUCCAGAAGAAGGGGAAAAACAGCAAAAACAAUCAAACAAACAAACAUAAACGUGACGUAGUAACAAAUAACAUGGGUCAAGAUAUAAAUCAACUGGCCAACAUUGUUCAAUAAACUUUUUCCAACAUCUAAACUUUUUCAACCGAACCUGAAUUUUCUUGAGAGUUUUUUUGAGGCAUCAUGAUUGGUAAGGAGCUUGAAGGCAAAGUUCAACAGUUUCAUGACAAAGUUACAACCAUCGAUGAAAAGGUUACGACCUUAGCCAAGCAAAAUAACGAUUUGCAGAAACUCAUGAAACAUCCUUCAGCAAUUGAGCCAGUUGCGAAAAGAAAAACAACCGACUACUGAUCAAAGACAAGUUGAUAUAUUUACUGGAGGGACCUCUGCUCCUCAAAUGGUAAUUGCUACCCAACCACCUCUUGAACCUGCCGAACGCAUUGGAAGUACUCUCAUGCAAGCUCGUAACAUAUGACUUGACUUUCUUAUUUUUCAUGGUGCCAAUCAAACGGGAUGGAUUUUUCGAUAUGAGCAAUAUCGUCGCCUUACUGGAUUAUCAGAUGCUGACUUAUUGUCCUUAGCUAUUGGCCAUCUUGAUGGUGAUACUGUACCUUGGUUUAAUUGGAUAGAGCAAACUAUGGGCGCAAUUUAAACGGGCUUUGACUACUCAAUUUGGGACAUUAGAAGAGAAUGAUGCAGUUGGCAGUCUUACCAAACUACGUCAAAUAGGGACCGUUCUUGACUAUCAACGACAAUUUGAAAAGUUGGCUAAUCAGACUAGAAAUUUAACUGAGUCUUUCUUUAUCAGUUGUUUCCUCUCUGGGUUGCGUGAAGAUAUCAAGGCUGGCGUACAACUGUUCAAACCUGUUAGUCUUGUACAAACUUUUGAACUUGCUAGGUUUAGUAAAAGACAAUUACUUUGCAAGGCAACUGUUCCCCUGUUCCUGCCAUCCAAGAUCUAGUCCCACAAUUACAGCCGACUCCUACUCCACCAACACCCUCUUUAUUAGGACUGAUUUCCUCUACCUUACCUAAUAAUGUCAAACGUUUAUCCUCAGCUGAGCAGACAGAAAGACGUUCUGAAGGGCUCUGUUUCAACUCUGAUGAGCAAUUCAAGCCUGAACAUCGUUGCAAACAAUCUCAACUAUUGCUUUUAGACGCUGCUAUACCUCUUCACAACCCUCCAAAACCGCCUGACCAUCAUUCGGAUUGGAAGAUCUCGAUUAUUGAGACUGGGUAAAAGGCUUUCAGACAAGCCUGUUUGAAGGGGCAGGGAAUGUUAGGACCCUAAUAAUUUAUUUUAUUACUUGUUUUAAUUUUUUUUCCUAUUAAUACUAGGUUUUCUUAUUUCAAUUAUGAAUUAAUGCUCUUAUUAAAUUACAAUUAGAACCGUCUUGAACUACUAUAAAUAAGUGGUUCUUAUUAUAUUUUUGAAGGAGCAACAAUAAAAUUAAUUCUAAUCUCAGUUAAUUCUUCUCUCUUCCCUCUGAAUUCUUAAAUUCUUCAUUUAUUUCUCCCUUAAUUCUCUAACCAAAACCUCAUAAUCCUACCAGUAACGGACUGCAUUACGUUCGAGAAGACGAUUUACACACACACAAGAUAAUAAAGGCAUUUAAAUCACCUAAUUAAGUUGUAUAGGGAUAAAUAAUUAAAUUACAAAAAGCUCGACAUAUACUGAAAAAUAAAAAAGAAAUUGAACAAAGUCAUAAAUUUAUUGACAUCUAAAUUCUGAAAAUUGGUGUGUGUCUUCAGUAGGGAAAGUUAUCAUUUACAUACGGUUAUUUUUAUUGAUAUUUAAUACCUCUAUUUUAUGUUCAAUUGGAAGGAAUUCUAGGCUGUUCAGUUUUCUACUUACGGUAUUAUCACGAUCGUUGUUAUUGAGAAAAUUGUGGCAAUUUUUUUGAUUGAUAAUGAUGAUUUUAGUACGUGGCAGGCUCGGUGAUGCUGUUAUUUCGCGGAGCAUUUGGAUGCCCGCUCUAUACUGGUGAUUUUCGCUGGGAAGCAAGUAAUCAGAGGGCCGAGAUAGGAAGGAACACGCUCGUCAAAGCUUUAAAAGAUGAUGUAGUCGACAUUCUUUAUUUGGAUAACACAUAUUGCAGUCCAUCAUAUGCUUUCUUGUUUGAGAACUUUAUAUAUCCAAACUGAUAUAUGAUAGCAGGUACACUUUUUAUAUUUUUCCUUUCUUGUUUGAGAACUUUCAGUUUCACUCCAGAAUUAUCUACUGAAUUAAAGAUUAAAAUGGGAGAUGAAAGAAAUAGUCCAGGUACUGAUUUGUAGUGUUAGUUAUCUGGAUGAAAACAGAUUGUUGACAUAAUUGCCUCCCAUCCAGAUCAUGACAUCAUCAUUGGGAUUGACUCACUUGGAAAAGAAAAACUUUUAUUUCACAUAUCGCAUAAGCUCAAUAUAAAGGUUUGCUCACCCUUUUAAUAUCGGAAAACCUUUUCUUACAUAACGAUCAUCACGAUGGUCUCUCCAAGGGGGAUGAAAUCGAUAGCAUAUAUACAGCAAAUUGACAUGUUAUCUAAUUUUUGGAUCACUUGUAGAUGAUUUAGAAGGAUUUUGAUAGUUUUUAUUCUUCUAACAUCUAAAAUAUGUUUUACUUUUUAGAAACUGGGCGGGUUAGAUUGUCAUUUGGUGGAUUUAAUUGUGGCCAAAUUCAUACAUGAAAUGUAUUGUCACACAUGUAUUAUUGGAUGCAUCCAAUUGUAUGUUCUUCCUCUUCAUGUGCCAUGAGAACUUAAAACUGCCCUCUUCAUCUCUUGCAAAAUGUUGUUUAGUCACAAGCAAGUGGAAUAAAAUUUUUGCAUUCAUUUCCAAAGCAGAUAUUUACUCUGUGUUUCUUGUUUCACAUUUCUUUUUUUUUUUAUAGAUUUGGGUGUGGCCAGAACGCCUGCAAACCAUGCAUCUGCUUGGCUUCCAUGACACAUUCACAACCAAAACUUCUCUUGCUAGAGUGCGAGCUGUUCCACGGUAUAGUUUUAGCAUUGAUACUUUAGAGAAUUUAAAUACAAUGCACCAAACCAUUGGAAUUAUGCCAUCUGGUCUUCCUUGGGUGGUUAAGCCUCUUAAAGGAGGUCCUGGUUCUCUUUUUGCUUCUUACCAAAGCAAAUGGAGAGCAACGGGUUGAACUCAGACUGAGAAACUAAAAGAAGCUUUGGGAUCAGUGGACAGGUUUCGUAAGUACAUAUAUUCAGUUCCAUAUUCUGAUCAGUCCUGCUUUGCAGGGAUAGAGGAAUUUUUAAACCGUGCCCAGCCAUCGAAUAUCAGAGGCAUCGUGUCUUCAUCGUCCUGUUAUGUUGACCCUCUUUACUACUUUGGCCACCUUUGCAGAGCAAAUCAACCAUCACUGAGGUAUAAGCAGCAACAGAGAGUGCAGCACAAAACAGUUGUAGCCGCCCAAAUGAAAUUCAUUGUUGAAAGUGGUAGAUCCACUAAGGUAGAUAGGAAACGAAGGACUGCGGAAGUAGGUAUUUUAGGAGUUCGCAUGAGUAAGGUGGAUGCCCUUAGGCGGGCCCGACGAGGUGCGAAGCUUGCUCGAAGUGAGAGUUCUGAUUAAUUAGUGUCAAAUAUCAAUAUCAGGUAAGCUUGAAAUUCUUGCGAGUAAUGUUGCCUGUAUCAGUUUGAAUUCAGAGUCUAUUGUAUGGUUGAAGAAUACAUAUGGUGGUGUAGGGUGUAAGAAAAAUAAUCUUUUAUUUAUUUAUUUAUUUAUCUUGGAUGUCUAAAGCGACGGCCUAUUAGUGCUCAUUAAAGAAAAUGGUUGUGCGAAAGCACUUCGUCUGGAUCAAUCAUUUGAUUGUUUACGCGGGAUAGUUAUAGCGACUUUUCAAACUCGUGGCCUUUAAACACAUUAUAGUUUGCAAUCGUGGUCUUUACUCUUUACUUGAUUUGCAAUGAGGUAAAGAAGUCAAAUGACGGACCAAGAUAUUAGUUGAAGAAGCCAUACUACGGAUACGUCGCACGAGGUAUAUGUAAUCCCACGACACCUGGCAAGCGGACCGAAUCCAUGCGACUAUAGUAGCAGAGUCCGAUUCUACCUGCAAUAUAGAAUGGCCGAGGUGAGCUGCAAGCUCUAAGCUCUCAUGAACAGCCAUAAGCUCUAUGUAAAGGAUCGGACGAUAACCUAGGAAUGAUCCAAAAGUGCCUAAGAGCUCUCCCCAAGAGUCACGUAAAAUGCCCCCUGAAGCAGCCAUCCCUGGGUUUCCCCUAGAGCACCCAUCCACUGUCAACUUCACCACCCCCGGAGGUGGUCGAAUCCGAGAAAUCAGCCGAAGUGGUCUCCUAUGCCGUGUAACAACACGCCAUCCGUCCACUAAUCUACUAUCCAGGACGCCGCGCAGUUGGGAUGUUUUAAAACCGAAAGCAAAGCUGGCCAGCUUAAGAUCUGAAACUACUCGAAAAAUGACCGCAUCUACAAAAAAUGCCAUUGAAUCAAAUCUGUAAGCAUUUCGGGCCUUCCACACGUGCCAGAGGAUGAAACAAGGAAGUAGAACUCAAAUAUGGUUUCGGGAAGGAGCACAGCGCCUCCAGUGGCGAAGCAGCGCAUGAGGGGAGCGUUAUCUUUACUUGAUUUGCAAUAAGGUAAAGAAGUCAAUUGGGUAAUUUUUUUCUGUGAGAGUGAAUUGCGGCAAACGUGAGCAAAUUUUGCAUCAUUGUGCAUUUUGUUGUAGAAUGAGGAGAGUCAAUUUUCCUGACUAUCUAGACGAGUCUUUAGUUGAAUCUCUCCAUGGCCAUAAGUGGCCGGCAUAGACCAAAUCCUGAAACUGGUCAUAGUCCAAUAUGCAGACCACUCUGACUAUGGUCAAGACACUGGAAAAUGGUGAACGUUAGCUAAGUUUUGAAAGUUACCAAAAUUUAAUAAUAUCAUGUUUCUGAUUUCUAAUCAUGUUUUUUAUUUUGAAGAUUUCAGUUUUGACAAUUUGACUAAAUAAAUAUGCGGGUUAAAAUUUUCAUGAUCUAAAAAAAUGUAACGAGAACUAAUAAAAUUUAUUAUUUUAUUACGGUUUAUAUCAUUUGAAAUGUUGAUUCAAUAUAAAUGAUAUGUCCGGCCUUGUGGUGGCUGGUGGGUGCAAUUUGAGAUGGUAAAAUUUUUUUAUUUUGAAGACAAGAUGUGAAUCCCAUUUAAUAUUAUUAUUAAAUUAAGCAGUAUAAAGAAGUUAAGCAACCCAAAACCAUAAAGAAGUCAAACAGGCUAGAAGCCGUAAAGAAGUCUAGAAGCCAUAAAGAAACCGAAUAUCAUAAACUAAAGAAAAGAUAAAAUAUAGAGUAAUAACAGCAGCAAAAAAACAGAGAACAGUAGCGCCACAACAGAUCUAAUACUUGUCCGUUUGUAAUCAUAUGUUUGCUGUUGUUCUUUGUUUAUUGCAGCUGCUAUUACUCUCAUUUUAGCUUUUCCUUAGCUUAUGAUCUUCGGUUUCUAUAUGGCUUCUUGGCUGCUUAACUUCUUUACGGCUUCCAGGCCGCUUGACCUCUUAACGUCUCCUAAGUGUUUGACUUCUUUAUGGUUUACCCCAAAAUGACCGAAGUGUUCCACAUUUAUGUAUUUUAAAGAGGUGCAACCUCAAGAUUGUAAUUUGUAAAGGGCAUAAUUGUCAGUUCAAUUAGCUUAGUUGACUUGGGGAAGGACUAUAACAUCGUUCUUCUUCUCUAUGUCGGUCUGUCUAGCUGUUGUCUUUCUCUUAUGAGCAAUAAAACAAUACAUGAUAUGUAAAUUAUUUUUCACUCAAGUAUCUAUCUUGAUAGCACAGAAUUUGUUGUUGUUGCAGCAGCCAUGGCAAUCAUCAAGAACAAUUCAUGGUUGAUGCUUUUUGUUCUUUUUACGUGCUUUUCACUCAAAUCCCAUGUCUCCUUCGGAGCUGACACCGUUUCUGCAAACCAAUCUCUCUCUGGCGAUCAAACGAUCGUUCAAGGCGGAUGUACGGUACAGCAGUUCCUUCACGAGAAGUUGCAGCUCAGCAGGUUCUCUUCGGUUUUAAGAAUCUCAGAUGGUAACUUAGUUCUUUUUAAUGAGUCCCAACUACCCAUUUGGUCCACAAAUUUGACCGCUACCAGCAGACGUUCUGUGGAAGCAGUUCUUUUAGAUGAAGGAAAUCUUGUUUUGAGAGAUUUGUCAAAUAAUUUGUCAAAGCCUUUAUGGCAAAGUUUUGAUCAUCCAGCUCAUACUUGGAUUCCCGGUAUGAAGCUGACGUUCAACAAGAGAAACAACGUCAGUCAACUUAUCACUUCAUGGAAGAAUAAAGAAAAUCCUGCACCGGGUCUCUUCUCCCUUGAGCGAGCACCAGAUGGAUCAAAUCAAUAUGUUAUGUUGUGGAAUAGGUCUGAGCAGUACUGGUCAAGUGGACCUUGGGAUGAGAAUGCAAAAAUUUUCAGCAUGGUCCCUGAAAUGAAUCAAAACUAUAUCUACAAUUUCAGCUAUGUGUCGAAUGAAAACGAGAGCUAUUUCACCAACAAUGUGAAAGAUAGCACUUACACAUCUCGAUUCAUUAUGGAUGUUUCAGGACAGGUUAAGCAGAUGAAUUGGUUGCCUACCAACUCUUGGUUUCUGUUUUGGUCCCAACCAAGACAGCAAUGCGAGGUUUAUGCUCUUUGUGGUCAAUUUAGCACCUGCAAUCAGCAAACUGAGCGUUUUUGUUCUUGUUUGAAAGGUUUUCAACAAAAAUCGGUGAGUGACUGGAAUUUGGAAGAUUAUUCUGGUGGUUGUGUGAGGAAAACCCCGCUGCAGUGUGAAAAUAUUAGUCCUGCCAAUAGAAAAAGCGACCAAUUUUUCCAGUACAGUAACAUGAAAUUGCCUAAACAUCCACAAUCUGUGGCAGUAGGGGGUAUCAGGGAAUGUGAAACACACUGCUUGAAUAACUGCUCUUGCACUGCUUAUGCUUACAAAGACAACGCUUGCUCGAUUUGGGUAGGAAGUUUCGUGGGUCUGCAACAGCUACAAGGAGGUGGAGAUAUCAUUUAUAUCAAGCUUGCAGCUUCUGAGUUCGAGAGUCCCAAGAACAAGAAGGGAGUAGUCAUUGGCGGUGUUGUGGGCUCAGUGGCUGUCGUAGCUCUUAUUGGCCUGAUCAUGCUUGUAUACUUGGGAAGGAGAAAGACAGCAACUGUAACAACCAAAACUGUGGAGGGUUCUUUGGUGGCAUUUGCAUGCAAGGAUUUGCAAACUGCCACAAAGAAUUUCUCUAAAAAGCUGGGGGGAGGAGGUUUUGGUUCAGUUUUCAAAGGGGUGUUUCCGAAUUCAAGUCUCAUAGCUGUGAAGAAGCUUGAAAGCUUGAGCCAAGGAGAGAAGCAAUUUCGGACUGAAGUCAGAACCAUAGGGAAUAUCCAACAUGUCAAUCUGGUUCGGCUUCUGGGUUUCUGCUCUGAAGGUACUAGUAGGUUGUUGGUCUACGAUUUCAUGCCAAACGGUUCUUUAGACUCUCAUCUCUUCACUGAAAAAGAUUCAGACUUUCUUGAUUGGAAGACAAGAUACCAAAUUGCACUGGGGACAGCCAGAGGUUUGGCUUAUCUCCAUGAGAAGUGCAGAGACUGCAUCAUACACUGUGACAUAAAGCCAGAGAACAUUCUGUUAGACGCUGAAUUUUGUCCCAAAGUGUCGGAUUUUGGGCUGGCAAAGCUUGUUGGGAGGGAGUUCAGCCGUGUCCUAACAACCAUGAGAGGAACAAGAGGUUACCUUGCACCUGAAUGGAUUUCAGGAGUGGCCAUAACAGCCAAAGCGGAUGUCUACAGCUAUGGAAUGAUGCUGUAUGAAUUUGUAUCAGGAAGGAGGAACUCCCAGGAAUCUGAAGAUGGUAAAGUGAAGUUCUUCCCAUCUUGGGCUGCUAAACAAAUAGUUGAAGGCAGCAAUCUCAUUAGCCUAUUAGACCCAAGACUGGAGGGCAACGCUGACGAAGUAGAGCUUGCAAGACUUUGCAAAGUGGCUUGUUGGUGCAUCCAAGAUGAUGAGACUCACAGGCCAUCAAUGGGUCAAGUAGUUCAAAUUCUUGAGGGAGUUUUGGACGUGACACUGCCUCCAAUUCCCAGAGCUCUCCAAGUAAUGGUCGAUGACCAUGAGCACGUAGUCUUCUUCACUGAAUCAUCCACAUCUCAGAGUUCCCUGUCAAAGAGCAACAAUUCAACUGCUUCAUCUCAAGCAAAGAGUACCACAUCAUCAAGAAGUUCUUAAAUCGAUGUGAAGAAAAUAUUUUAACAUUUGUGUUUAAGAAUAUAUAUUUGGUUUAUUUCACUUGUAACAACCUGUAUGCAUAUUUGGAUAGAAGCCUUGCUUCGUAGUGUGUAUAAUAAUAAUGGAACCUGCCAAAGCAAUUUUAAGAAUUACAAGCCUUGUGCCUCGCUGUUCUCUCUAAUGAACUCUGAUU
rnacentral:lncRNA from 1 species